GGGUCGGGGACAUGAUAAUUUUUGUAGAAAGGAGAGAGAGAGAGAGGGGAGGAGAUCGAAGACGCUGCACUUUUCCACCCAAGAAUUCUUUCUCAAAUUGAUAAAUUUCGUUAGGGACCGAGUAUACUUGGACAUUUGUAUCUUUGGAUAUAAUCACACCUUCUAUAGUUGAUUUUGAAAGGUGGAAGGAGAUGGAUCAUUUUUAUUCCAACUACUCGUCGAUCACCACCCCGUUACUUGCUCAGAAAAAAAUCGUCGUUUGGCAGGAUUGGUUACUUUAUCGGGGAGAAGUUUCGAGCGAUGAGAAUGCAAGCGUUAACAAAUCGUUGUGCUAUCUUGUAAAUGGG
rnacentral:lncRNA from 1 species